UGGGCUCAGGCCCAGAGUGCCAGCUUUGCCCUAUCCCAUAGCCUGGAGCCACCACAGGAGGGGCACUCCACUCUCUUGGGCUCCUGGAGCCUCAGAGGCAGAGCCAGCCGGGAGUGCAGGAGGGAGAACUUUCCUGUGGACGUCCUGUGUUCUCCAGACGCAGAGAACCCUCAUCAACCGAGGGGGAGGUCACUUCCGAAUCCACAGAUGGCGUGUGAGUGCAUGGCGAGCGCCUCCAGGACACACUUACUGUUCCCUUGCUCUGGCCAGACGCCAGCCGGACCCUGUGUGUGCGCGCCGUGCUGCUCUUUGCAGCUGCCUGCAAGGGGUUCCUGCGAAGACCAGCACCUUGGGGAAGAGCCUGCGGCUGAACUUGAACUCGCAGCUACCUGAGUCAGACCUGUGCUUUUUCACCUCUACGGAAGAUGUCAGAGCGUUUCCCUAGCAAUGUUUUAGAAGUUACUUCUGUCUGGAAAAAAAUGGAAAAAAUGGCAAAUUAUGUUAUGUAUAAUUUGAUAAUUUUAAAGAAUUAAUGAUGUAAUUAUUACUCAAACCCAAAAAAAAAAA
rnacentral:lncRNA from 1 species